rnacentral:rRNA from 1 species
AUGAACGCUAACAAUAUGCUUUACACAUGCGAGUCUAAUAGACCAUUGUUUUUAUGAUUAUGGUUUGUGGCGUACGGGUGAGUAAUAUAUAAGAAUUUGCUUUUAAGUUACGGGAUAAAUUUUUAAUACCGAAUAUAAAGGCUUACAGCCGCUUAAAAAUAAGCUUAUAAAAGAUUAGGUAGUUGGUGUGGGUAAAAGCCUACCAAGCCGAGGAUCUUUAACUGUUCUGAAAGGAAAUACAGUCACACUGGGACUGAGAAUGGCCCAGGCUUUAUAAGCCAGCAGUGGGGAAUCUUGGACAAUGAGCGAAAGCUUGAUCUAGCAAUAUUGCGUAAACUGUGAGUGGUAAUUACGGUUUGUUGGUGUUUUAACAAAUAUUAACAAACUAACCGUUAAGUUUUUUCGUUAACUAAGAUAAUGACCUAGUUAAAGAAGAAGUCCCGGCUAACUUCGU